UAGGGAGAAGACACUUCAACGUAUUUUUAAUCCUCUCUGUUAGCCGCGACCGCGCUCACUCGACACGAGUCUCCGCCAGGAAUAGCGCUGUAUUCCGCGGAUCGUCGACGGAUCAACUUGUGGCUGCGAGAAACGAGUGGAAAGGAAAGUGUCGACGCACUGUUUCAGAUUUUUCUGAAGGACUUGUUCUGAAGGAAUCUCGAAAAAGAACUAGAGAAAAAUAAAAAAUUUGACCAAAUGGAAGUUCAUCGAUCAUUCUCUGUUUCUUCUGUUCCACUUAAUUCGAUGGAACCUCCAAUUAUUACUUCAAACAGAAAAUUUCACUGAAAUAUGCGGAGGAGAAAUUCAUUCGAGGGUGAACACCGUUCGUCGCGCAACGGAGGAAUGUAAACCACGUAAAUGAUUCGAAAUUGAAAAUGGUAUCGCGAUAAAAUUGUUCACCGGCGUGUGGAGAAAGGAAAUAAAGGGAAGUUUCAUUUCAACUACGCACAAAAAUCAAUAUUAAAAUAAAGGUGAUGGAAAAUUUCUCGUCCAAUGUAUUUUUACACAGGGUGGCCCGUAAUUCAUAUUACAAAUAGGGUCAGGGGGAGUUUUAUGAUUCGAAAUAAGACGAAAAUCAAGAAUAACGAAAUUACGCGAGAGAAUUCGUUUUCGGAUAAAUUAAAAGGUUGAUUUUUUAAAUAUAAAUAAAAUUAAUUUUUUGUAGAAUAGAUUGUUGAUAGAAAAUUGUUUUAAAUGUGAAAAUGAGAAAUAAAAAAAUGUAUAAUAUAUCUAUUUAUAUGUAAUAUAAUGAUAUAAUCAUUUAAAAAUUAGUUUUCAAGAAAAUCGAAUUUGAAAAUUCAUGAAAUUACGACUAUAUAUGUUCAAUUUUAAUUUUUUCAAAAACAAUGAUAAAUUUUAUUCUAUACUUUUUGCUUUUUUUACAUUUAAAGUAAUCAUCAUCUGUGGAUAAUUCGUAUCCAAUCAAGAAUUAAUUAAUGUUAUUUGUAUUUGAAAAUUGUUCAAAAUUGAUUUAUUCGGGAAUAAAGCUUUAUAUGAAAAAAUUGUUCUAAAAUUUUACAUUUUUAUUUUAUUUUAUAAUCAUAUAAUCUUUUUUACUUUAUUUAUAUCAUGAAUUAUGGAUCACCCUGUAUAUAUAUAUCUCAAUUUUAUUAGAUAUUAUAUAUUAAAUUUCUUUUAAAAAAAUUUUUUUAUUUUUAAAAUUUAAAAAAAAAGAGAAUCAAAAUUACAAAAAUAAGAGAUUACUCGUAAAAAUUAUUUUUCUUUUAUAAGUAAAAUUUUAUUGUUUCUUGAAAAAAAAAUUAAAUGAUAUGGUACACAUAUAGAAGAAACUGAUUCUUAUUCUUUGCAUCUUCGUAUGUUUUAUAAUUUAUAAGAUUUUUAUUGCUCCUUUCCUUUAUAGUUCUAUCCUUUGACUCAUGAACGUCGACGUGUUUUAUAAACUUCCACAUUUCUAUUUUAUAUUUUACGGAGGAGUUUUGUAAAUAAAAUUCGAUGGCAUAAAGUUACAUUCCGGAUAUUAUGCAGAUUCAAAGGUAGAAUAAAAGAACGCAAAAUGUAAAAAGAAUAAACGGAAAUAUUUUUGAA